rnacentral:rRNA from 1 species
AGGUUUUACCUGGCUCAGAUUGAACGCUGGCGGCAGGCUUAACACAUGCAAGUCGAGCGGAAACGAGAAUAGCUUGCUAUUCGGCGUCGAGCGGCGGACGGGUGAGUAAUGCUUGGGAAUAUGCCUUUGAGUGGGGGACAACAGUUGGAAACGACUGCUAAUACCGCAUAACGUCUACGGACCAAAGGGGGGGACGCUUCGGCACCUCUCGCUCAUUGAUUAGCCCAAGUGAGAUUAGCUAGUUGGUAAGGUAAUGGCUUACCAAGGCGACGAUCUCUAGCUGGUUUGAGAGGAUGAUCAGCCACACUGGGACUGAGACACGGCCCAGACUCCUACGGGAGGCAGCAGUGGGGAAUAUUGCACAAUGGGCGAAAGCCUGAUGCAGCCAUGCCGCGUGUGUGAAGAAGGCCUUCGGGUUGUAAAGCACUUUCAGCGAGGAGGAAAGGUUAGUAGUUAAUAACUGCUAGCUGUGACGUUACUCGCAGAAGAAGCACCGGCUAACUACGU